GCAAGUCGAGCGGUAACAGAGAUAGCUUGCUAUCUGCUGACGAGCGGCGGACGGGUGAGUAAUGCUUGGGAAUAUGCCUUUGAGUGGGGGACAACAGUUGGAAACGACUGCUAAUACCGCAUAACGUCUACGGACCAAAGGGGGGGAUUCUUCGGAACCUCUCGCUCAUAGAUUAGCCCAAGUGAGAUUAGCUAGAUGGUGGGGUAAUGGCCUACCAUGGCGACGAUCUCUAGCUGGUUUGAGAGGAUGAUC
rnacentral:rRNA from 1 species